CGGCUCUGUAGGUCUCCUGUUNAAUCCAACGGCUUAACCGUUGGCAUGCGGGGGAUACCGCAAGGCUAGGAGGCGGGAGAGGCGAACGGUACUCCGAGGGUAGGGGUAAAAUCCUUUGAUCCCCGGAAGACCACCAGUGGCGAAGGCGGUUCGCCAGAACGCGCUCGACGGUGAGGGAUGAAAGCUGGGGGAGCGAACCGGAUUAGAUACCCGGGUAGUCCCAGCUGUAAACGAUGCAGACUCGAUGAUGCAAUGGCAUAGAGCUAUUGCAGUAUCGCAGGGAAGCCGUUAAGUCUGCCGCCUGGGAAGUACGUACGCAAGUAUGAAACUUAAAGGAAUUGGCGGGGGAGCACCACAAGGGGUGAAGCCUGCGGUUCAAUUGGAGUCAACGCCAGAAAUCUUACCCGGAGAGACAGCAGAAUGAAGGUCAGGCUGAAGACCUUACCAGACAAGCUGAGAGGUGGUGCAUGGCCGUCGUCAGCUCGUGCCGUGAGAUGUCCUGUUAAGUCAGGUAACGAGCGAGAUCCCUGCCACUAGUUGCUAUUAUUACUCUCAGGAGUAGUGGGGCGAAUUAGUGGGACCGCCACAGUUAAUGUGGAGGAAGGAAGGGGCCACGGCAGGUCAGUAUGCCCCGAAACUCUGGGGCCACACGCGGGCUGCAAUGGUAGUGACAAUAGGCUCCUAACUCGAAAGAGAGAGGCAAUCCAAAAACACUACCACAGUUAUGACUGAGGGNUGUAANUCGCCCUCACGAAUAUGGAAUCCCUAGU
rnacentral:rRNA from 1 species